GCCUGGGUGGCUCAGUCAGUUAAGCGUCUGACUUCAGCUCAGGUCACGAUCUCACAGUCUGUGAGUUCGAGCCCCGCAUCGGGCU
rnacentral:tRNA from 1 species